UACGGGGGGUGCGAGCGUUGUCCGGAAUCACUGGGCGUAAAGGGCGCGUAGGUGGUUUGAUAAGGGUGUGGUGAAAGUCCGGGGCUCAACCCCGGAUCUGCCGUGCCGACUGUCAAACUCGAGGACUGUAGAGGCAGACGGAAUUCCGGGUGUAGCGGUGGAAUGCGUAGAGAUCCGGAGGAAGACCGGUGGCGAAGGCGGUCUGCUGGGCAGUUUCUGACACUGAGGCGCGACAGCGUGGGGAGCAAACAGA
rnacentral:rRNA from 1 species